GAUCAUGGCUCAGGAUGAACGCUAGCGGCAGGCUAACACAUGCAAGUCGAGGGGCAACGCGAGUAGCAAUACUUGGCGGCGACCGGCGCAAGGGUGCGUAACGCGUGAGCAACAUGCCCGUAUCAGGGGGAUAAUCCAGGGAAACUUGGUCUAAUACCCCAUAGUAAUUUUGUAAGGCAUCUUAUAAGAUUUAAAGCUUUGGUGGAUACGGAUUGGCUCGCGUGACAUUAGCUGGAUGGUAAGGUAACGGCUUACCAUGGCUAUGAUGUCUAGGGGUUCUGAGAGGAAGGUCCCCCACACUGGAACUGAGACACGGUCCAGACUCCUACGGGAGGCAGCAGUGAGGAAUAUUGGACAAUGGAUGGAAAUCUGAUCCAGCCAUGCCGCCGUGAAGGAAGAAGGUCCUAUGGAUUGUAAACUUCUUUUGUAUGGGAGCAAUAAGGCCUACGAGUAGGUUGAUGAGAGUACCAUACGAAUAAGCACCGGCUAACUCCGUGCCAGCCGCGGC
rnacentral:rRNA from 1 species